GGGGCAGUUAAACCGUUACCAUUACUGAGUUUUAGUAAUGGUAAGGGUUCUACGGCCUU
ensembl:miRNA microRNA 451a